rnacentral:tRNA from 1 species
GGGCAGGUGGUGAAACUGGUAUACACACGUGGCUUAGGACCAUGUGCCGCAAGGCGUGAGGGUUCGAGUCCCUCCCUGCCCACCA